rnacentral:tRNA from 1 species
GUUCAUGUAGCUUAACAAUAAAGCAAAGCACUGAAAAUGCUUAGAUGGAUUUUUAUCCCAUAAACA